rnacentral:rRNA from 1 species
ANUGAGCGUCUGCUAGUACACGUGGACACCUACCCUAAGGAGGGGGAUAACCCCGGGAAACUGGGGAUAAUACCCCAUAGACUAGAGAAGCUGGAAUGCUCUCAAGUCCAAAGGUCCGCCGCCUUAGGAUGGGUCUGCGGUCGAUUAGGUUGUUGUUGGGGUAACGGCCCAACAAGCCCGUGAUCGAUACGGGUUGUGAGAGCAAGAGCCCGGAGAUGGAUUCUGAGACACGAAUCCAGGCCCUACGGGGCGCAGCAGGCGCGAAAACUUUACAAUGCGGGAAACCGUGAUAAGGGAACCCCGAGUGCCCGUAAAUUCGGGCUGUCCAUCAGCGUAAAUAACUGGUGAAGAAAGGGCCGGGCAAGACCGGUGCCAGCCGCCGCGGUAAUACCGGCGGCUCGAGUGGUGGCCACUAUUAUUGGGCUUAAAGCGUCCGUAGCUUGGUUGUUAAGUCUCUUGGGGAAUCUACCGGCUCAACCGGUAGGCGUUCAGGAGAUACUGGCAAUCUAGGGACCGGGAGAGGUGAGAGGUACUCCAGGGGUAGGAGUGAAAUCCUGUAAUCCUUGGGGGACCACCUGUGGCGAAGGCGUCUCACUAGAACGGCUCCGACAGUGAGGGACGAAAGCUGGGGGAGCAAACCGGAUUAGAUACCCGGGUAGUCCCAGCUGUAAACGAUGCGCGUUAGGUGUAUCGGUGACCACGAGUCACCGAGGUGCCGAAGGGAAACCGUGAAACGUGCCGCCUGGGAAGUACGGUCGCAAGGCUGAAACUUAAAGGAAUUGGCGGGGGAGCACCACAACAGGUGGAGCCUGCGGUUUAAUCGGACUCAACGCCGGAAAGCUCACCGGAUAAGACAGCGGAAUGAUAGCCGGGCUGAAGACUCUGCUUGACUAGCUGAGAGGAGGUGCAUGGCCGUCGUCAGUUCGUACUGUGAAGCAUCCUGUUAAGUCAGGCAACGAGCCGAAGACCCG